GAUAUAAUCUGUUUCAUUUAAAAUUUAGUUAGAAUUUUAUUUUUUAGUUAAAAAGCUAAAAUAUAUUCAAAAGACGAGAAGACCCUAUAAAUCUUGAUUAUUUAGUAAUUUUUAGUUUAUUUUGAUUUUUUUUAUUAUAAAUUUAUUAAUUAAUUUUAUUGGGGUGAUAUUAAAAUUUAAAUAACUUUUAAUAAUUUUUAUCAUUUAUUUAUGAUUAAGUGAUCCAUUAUUAGUGAUUAGAAAAUUAAGUUACUUUAGGGAUAACAGCGUAAUUUUUUUGGAGAGUUCUUAUCGAUAAAAAAGUUUGCGACCUCGAUGUUGGAUUAAGAUUCAUAUUUAAAUGUAGAAGUUUAAAUAUAAAGUCUGUUCGACUUUUUAUUCUUACAUGAUCUGAGUUCAAACCGGUGUAAGCCAGGUUGGUUUCUAUCUUUGAUUUGGUAAAAUAUUUUAGUACGAAAGGAAUUAAUAUUUAUUUUAAAAAAAUUAAUUUAUGAAUAAAUUUAAUU
rnacentral:rRNA from 1 species